GGGAAGCGUUUCCGGGGGCUGAGGCACAGGCUGAAUCUGUUGCGGCAGCAAAGGCUAGAACAGGCCUGCGCCGGCGGCGGAGAGGAUCCCUUGGACGGGGGAUGUGAGCGCUGAGCCCUUGGCAGAAGUCAAUGUGAUUUUAAUUUGAAGCAAAACUGAAAUGGGUUCUUCUUCCUCAUUCUAUUCAUAUUGCUUUUUGAUGGCCAUGGCAUAAGAAACUUUAUCCCAGGAAUACAGCUUUGCAUUAGUAGAGACGGGGUUUCACCGUGUUAGCCAGGAUGGUCUCC